rnacentral:lncRNA from 1 species
GUCCAUGGUCAGCUGGCUUCAAGACAGAAACCAUCAUGGUGGAAGGGUAUGGCGGAACAAAGCUGCUCAGUUCAUGGCAGCUGGGGAACAGUGCCAGAGAGGAAGAGGCCAGGGAGUGCUUAGCUAGAGACUGGAAGCACAGGGAGCAGAGCUCUUCCACUGGUGGACAGUUUGCUGAGUAUGCCUGGUACACUGAAGGCCUUCUCUUCGCCUCUGGUGGGGUAGGUGCAGCUCUACUGGCAGCCUCGGAUUUUGAUAGCAAGGAAUGACUUCUGAGGCAGAAGGAAAAUCUACUCAAGUGCAAUCCUGGAGAUGAAGGAAGGAUUGAAGAACAAUAGAAAAGCUGCUGCAUAUUGAUGGAACAUGUGUGGAUUUGAGGCAUGUGACAUAGUGACUUCACAGUGCAGGCCUUGGAGCCUACAUGACUUGGAUUCCAGGCCUGGUCCUACCAGCGUGAAUUGCACACUCCAAGCAAGUCAUACUUCCUUCACACCUUGGUCUUCUCAUCUGUAAAAAGGAAAUCAUGACACCCAAGGGAGAGUCAGGAUGGUGACCUAGUGCCUGCCUCACAGGUUCAUAGUGAGGAUAAGCAGGCCAAGGCAAGAAAGCCCUUACUUAGCAUGGUGCAGGCAGCCCCAGACCUGG